rnacentral:rRNA from 1 species
UGGGGAAUAUUGCACAAUGGGCGCAAGCCUGAUGCAGCCAUGCCGCGUGUAUGAAGAAGGCCUUCGGGUUGUAAAGUACUUUCAGCGGGGAGGAAGGCGUUAAGGUUAAUAACCUUGGCGAUUGACGUUACCCGCAGAAGAAGCACCGGCUAACUCCGUGCCAGCAGCCGCGGUAAUACGGAGGGUGCAAGCGUUAAUCGGAAUUACUGGGCGUAAAGCGCACGCAGGCGGUCUGUCAAGUCGGAUGUAAAAUCCCCGGGCUCAACCUGGGAACUGCAUUCGAAACUGGCAGGCUAGAGUCUUGUAGAGGGGGGUAGAAUUCCAGGUGUAGCGGUGAAAUGCGUAGAGAUCUGGAGGAAUACCGGUGGCGAAGGCGGCCCCCUGGACAAAGACUGACGCUCAGGUGCGAAAGCGUGGGGAGCAAACAGG